GGUGAAGUUUUAAAAUUCUUGCUCCCAAAGAAUAUAUGUCUUGUAUUCUCUCCAAAACAAAAUGCAAUAUAGAAAUCAUACUAAUUUCCAUAUUAAGAACCCAAUCUUUUGGGUUGCUUUUGUGUUUAAAAAAAAAAAAAAAAAAAAAAAAAAAAGCUUAUUCCAUAAAAGUGUUUUCAAACUGUGGAGCUGUCCUAGAAUCCAUCAAUGUGACACAUCUGUAUUGAAGUCGGUGCUAUGUCACUUCCACCUGCUUCAUAUUCACUCUAAAGUUGACAAGUAUCGUGUACAGGCUGAAUUUAUACUAUACAUGUCAGAGGGAGUACACUUCAGUUUCUUCUACCAAAAAAAAAAAAAAAAUGCUGUAAGAAGCAAUGAUGAUGUGAUGAUGCUUAAUUUAAAAAGAAACUGCAAGAAAGAAAGAGAGAGACAGAGAGCAGGCAGGAAGGCAAGAAAAAGAAAAAGUAAUAAAGAAAGUGGAACAGGCAGACUAAACUCACCAUUUUAUGCAGACUUGGAAUUCAGAUACCAAGCAAAAUUUAAGAAAUGUAACUGCUAAAUGGACAGCCUGAAGCAAACAUAAACACAAGGACAGGCAAGUUUUACCCUUUUUAUUUUAUUUAUUUAUUUUAUUUAUUUUCACACAGAGAAUGUCAAGGAAUGUAACAGAGAGGCUAGAGGCAGAGUGUAUGGCUACCACCUUGACUACUUUGUCAGCUGGGGGUAAGACAGUUGUCACUAUCCUUUGCAAAAACAAAAAGACGGGUUUAGUGAAGAAUCAGCAUUUUCCCUCUCCAUAGAUUGUGCCUCUCACUAUCAUUCAUAGACUGUAGUGUUAAAACAGAUCACAUAAAAUGUCUGUGCUGUAGAUAUGUUUUAUAAAAUUGUCCUUUUGUCUGGCAACAGCAUACAAGAUUCAAAUUAUUUUGUGGGUUUGGUCCUUUCUCUCCAGGUCACUCUUUUGGGUAGUACUUAAAAAGAUCUGAUAUCAAUUUGUAUUUCUGUGUGACUGCUACUAGCUCAUUGUAUUUCUUGACCACACCUCCAGUCUUAUGUUUGGUAUGCAUUAAACAUAAUAAAAAAUCAAGUGUCAGAUUCA
rnacentral:lncRNA from 1 species